AUUCAGCCCAUCUGCACCCAGGUGAAAUAAACAGCUUUAUUGAUCACACAAAGCCUGUUUGGUAGUCUCUUCACACGGACGUGCAUGAAAAAUAUAUCAAAAGAGUAUUCGCAUUCCUGUGUUUAUUGCAGCAUUAUUCAAAAUAGCAAGACGUGGAACAACCUGAGUGUUCAUUGACAGAUGAAUGCAUCAAGAAAAUAUGGAAGUUCAAGCUGCUAGAUGGACAGGUCAAAUGAAGAAACAGAUGCCUGACCACUACUAAGCUGUAACUGAUACUGCAGUUGAGAUACAAGAUGUGAAUCUAAAAGAAAUCACCUCGGAUGUCUAGCCCUGUCCUCAAAUAAUUUCAGCUCGGCUGUCUCAUGACUACAACCAUACAAGAAACCCCAACAGCCAACAUAUGGAAACAACCUAAAUGUCUGUCGACAGGUGAAUGAAUAAAGAAAAUGUGGUAUAUACAUACAGCAGAAUAUUGUUCAGUCUUAAAAAAGAAGGAAACCUUACAAUAUGCAGCAUCAUGAAUGAACAUGGAGGACAUUAUGCUAAAUGAAAUAAGCCAGUCACAGAAGGAACAGACACUGCCUGAUUCCAAUCGUAGGAGAUAACUAGUAUUGUCAAAUUUAUAAAAUUGACAAGAGAAUGGUAGUUGCUAGUGGGUGAGCAGAGGGGAAGAUGAGGAGUUAUUGUUGAAUGUGUAUAAAGUUUUAAUUAUGCAAGAUGAGUAAGUUCUAGCGAUCUAUUGUACAACCUUGUGCCUAUAGUUAACAAUGAUGUAUUGUGGAUGUAAAAAUUUGUUAAAGAGGAUACAUCUCAUAUUGUUUUCUUACCACAGUAAAAAAAAAAAGAAACAAAUAAACAAGAAUGUAUAUAGUACUGAAAACUGUAUGUCUGAUGAUUAAAAAUUAAGAAUAUCCUCAAUACCACAUAAUUUACACAAUAGAUACAAAAGGUGUUGGCAACAAAGCAUGUCUGUCAACUUGGCUUAAAUUUUAAUCAUAAUCUCUCAAAGUCUUGAGAGAAGGCUAUGUUUUGUUCGUGUCAUUGUUAUUGUUGUUGUUUGACUCUAAAGAAUAAAUGAGAUCUUGGUAAAUUUUUGUUAUAUGCAAUACGUAUCUAAGGAACUACAAAAAUCAACUUCUAUUACUCUUGCCUAAUUCUUUCUUAGUACAUGAUUAGAUCUGUGUAGUACUUCAUUGAUCGUCUGCUGUGUAGGCAGCAUAGGCUCAAUGUUUAUUGAAUGCAGAUUUACG
rnacentral:lncRNA from 10 species